rnacentral:rRNA from 1 species
UACGAAGGGGGCUAGCGUUGUUCGGAAUUACUGGGCGUAAAGCGUGCGCAGGCGGCUGCUCAAGUCAGGGGUGAAAGCCCAGAGCUCAACUCUGGAAUUGCCUUUGAGACUGAGUGGCUUGAGUACGGGAGAGGUGAGUGGAAUUCCCAGUGUAGAGGUGAAAUUCGUAGAUAUUCGCAAGAACACCAGUGGCGAAGGCGGCUCACUGGCCCGGUACUGACGCUGAGGUGCGAAAGCGUGGGGAGCAAACAGG